rnacentral:rRNA from 1 species
AGUGAACGCUGGCGGCAGGCCUAACACAUGCAAGUCGAACGGCAGCACAGUGGAGCUUGCUCCAUGGGUGGCGAGUGGCGGACGGGUGAGGAAUACAUCGGAAUCUGCCCAGUCGUGGGGGAUAACAUAGGGAAACGUAUGCUAAUACCGCAUACGACCUACGGGUGAAAGCGGGGGAUCGCAUGACCUCGCGCGAUUGGAUGAGCCGAUGUCGGAUUAGCUAGUGGGCGGGGUAAUGGCCCACCAAGGCGACGACCGGUAGCUGGUCUGAGAGGAUGAUCAGCCACACUGGAACUGAGACACGGUCCAGACUCCUACGGGAGGCAGCAGUGGGGAAUAUUGGACAAUGGGCGCAAGCCUGAUCCAGCCAUGCCGCGUGGGUGAAGAAGGCCUUCGGGUUGUAAAGCCCUUUUGUCCGGAAAGAAAAGCCUCGGAUUAAUACCCUGGGGUGAUGACGGUACCGGAAGAAUAAGCACCGGCUAACUUCGUGCCAGCCGCCGCGGUAAUAC